rnacentral:lncRNA from 1 species
CUUGGACAUUCUAUUGUGUCCUAGAGAGUUCUUGGCAUCCUCUGUGAUGUCACCAGCGUUGUAGUAACCACCAGUGCCCUACUUUUUCUCAGUCCCUGCCUGGCAGAUACACAGGAAGACAUGUAUUCCCGUCUUCGCAAGCAUUUUGGUAGAGUGAAUGGGGAUUUUGGACAGACUAGAGUGAGGGAAUCUCGCCUUUCAUCAAAAACAAAUGAUGGACAAAGAAAGCUGGCCUGGGGAAUGAGGAAGGAUGGGAGACUGACAUCAUCCCCUGGCCCUGUGGUAAUCAACAAGGAGGCCAACACAGAAGAGCAGAGACUGAUUAGACAGCUGCAGUCAGCUACUGAGGAGAGAAAUGAGCUAAGAGAUCUCCUGACUUACGUGACAGAGAGAUACAGGAACAACAGGUAUGCAUUGCUCCAAACUGCCUUGUGUCACUCAUGGACCUGCAAUGUCACCUCCAUCGUAUUCUAUUAAGGUGUUGGGUCUAGAAAGCUGUGCCUCCCAAAAUACUCGUCCUAAACCUCAUUUCUGAUAUAGAGGAGAUUCAGAACCUGACCCUUGGUCAGGAGUGAGAUGGGAAAUGGUCUCAUCUGCUGCCUCCAGCUGAAAAUCUGAACUUGUGGCCUUAGUGAGGAUUCAGGGAUAACGUUACUGGAGCAUGAGUUCCCAGUGUGCAUUUGGAAAGCCCUUGACAGGUGGUAGCUUUGCAAGGUUCUAGGUGCUGUGAGUUUGGGUGUGUGCUAGGAAGGUGACUGAGUGCUGGACUCUUGUUGCAGUAGCCUGAGGUGACAGAUCCCAAAUUGUUCAUCUCAAUGUUUGACUAGAUGGCCAGAGACACAGGGCUUUUCCUUCUUUCUUGUUUACCUCUGAGCCAAUAAUGUGGCAUGCAUUUUUUCUGAUUCUGAUUGUGUUCUCCGUUUGCAUAUUUCGCUCCCUUUUUCAUUCUCUUACUGUUUACUUUUCUUUUCCUGUGUGUGUGUCCCAG